ACCCUGAAAUGAGUAGGUGUCCAAACUUUUGACUGGUACUGUAUCUAUACAUACAUUUACAUAUACAGGACUCUGACUUUGCUCAUCCUAAUACUUAUAGAUUUCUUAAAUCCAUUCUUCUACUCAGAUUUGUGUGUAUUGUUAGAUAUUACUGCACUGUUGGAGCUGGGAACACAACCAUUUCACUACAGCCAUAAUAACAUCUGCUAAAUAUGUGUACGUUCAUAUUGACGUUUUCUGAUAGGUUCAAUUCUGCAGUGUAUGAUAUGUAACCAUGGCGACGCUGUAAUAUAUAUCCCUCCCUUCAUUCAUCAGCGUUACCAAGAAGGACAAAGCCACCGUCUGUGUGACUCCAGAUGCAAGAUGGAUCAACAAAGUCAUUGGCAAGUUACAAAGUACCAACAAGAAGAAGAGAAGUGCAGAACUUCCUCAUCUCAACCACCACUGAGUGAAUUGGAACAGGAAUGUAUCAAGUUGGAGCUAAAUGGACAUGUGAUACCAAUGUGAUACCAAUGUGAUGACAAUGUGACGCCAAUGUGAUACCAAUGUGAUACCAAUGUGAUACCAAUGUGAUACCAAUGUGACGCCAAUGUGAUGCCAAUGUGACACCAAUGUGAUGCCAAUGUGAUACCAAUGUGAUACCAAUGUAAUGCCAAUGUAAUGCCAAUGUGAUACCAAUGUAAUGCCAAUGUGACACCAAUGUGAUACCAAUGUGACACCAAUGUGAUACCAAUGUGACACCAAUGUGACACCAAUGUGAUACCAAUGUGAUACCAAUGUAAUACCAAUGUGAUACCAAUGUGAUACCAAUGUGAUACCAAUGUGACACCAAUGUGAUACCAAUGUGAUACCAAUGUAAUACCAAUGUGAUACCAAUAUGAUGCCAAUGUGAUACCAAUGUGAUGCCAAUGUGAUACCAAUGUAAUACCAAUGUGAUACCAAUGUGAUACCAAUGUAAUACCAAUGUAAUACCAAUGUGAUACCAAUGUGACACCAAUGUGAUACCAAUGUGAUACCAAUGUAAUACCAAUGUGAUACCAAUGUGAUACCAAUGUAAUACCAAUGUAAUACCAAUGUGAUACCAAUGUGACACCAAUGUGACACCAAUGUGACACCAAUGUGAUACCAAUGUGAUACCAAUGUGAUACCAAUGGAUUCUGUUCAAAUAUGAUUCCAAUACCAA